CUUUCUCGAUGUUUGUAACAUUACUCUGCUUUGUUUUGUUGUUGCAGGUCUCCGUCUGAUUGUGGAAACCAAUCAUUUGUUCAAGCUUGCUUGAUUUUCAGGCAGUGAGUAGAUGUAACAAUACUUGGGAUCAAAUUUCAGGGAAUUGAUUACUUGAAGUAUGACAACUGCAACUCAGUCUUCUGUCUCCAAUACUUAAUUCCUUUUGUGUCAGUCUGAUUUUGGCAACCAAUUUUUUGUUUAAGAUCCUUGAGAAAGAUCCUUUCCAUUUGAAGUGUACCUUGGGUACAAUUUGGUCGCUGCCAUGGAACUUGGCAAAUCAAAUGAGCUCUAUCUAAUUAAUGGCGUGCAAUUUGGUGAAAGACUACUACCCUUCAAAGUACGUGUUAAAAUAAUUUUACCUUCAAAUUAAGUGUUAAAAUAAAUUAUCUCAAGCUAUAUUGCCAAUUAUAGUUGUUCCUAUGAUUUUAUCCCAAUCCUAGUUAGGAUAUAUAUAGUUAACCUGUUUUGAAGUUGAGCUUGUCAAGACCAUGAAUCAACUUCAAGAGCAUGUGUUUUUUGGUUGAAUAUGUUUUCUGUACUGUACUUGAUCUCGUUGAACAUGUCAAAAUCGUUUUUGUGGUUGAG